rnacentral:rRNA from 1 species
CCUACGGGCGGCAGCAGUGGGGAAUAUUGGACAAUGGGCGAAAGCCUGAUCCAGCCAUGCCGCGUGUGUGAAGAAGGCCUUCGGGUUGUAAAGCACUUUCAGUGGGGAAGAAAGCCUUGGGGCUAAUACCCUCGAGGAAGGACAUCACCCACAGAAGAAGCACCGGCUAACUCCGUGCCAGCAGCCGCGGUAAUACGGAGGGUGCGAGCGUGAAUCGGAAUUACUGGGCGUAAAGCGCGCGUAGGCGGUCUGAUAAGCCGGUUGUGAAAGCCCCGGGCUCAACCUGGGAACGGCAUCCGGAACUGUCAGGCUAGAGUGCAGGAGAGGAAGGUAGAAUUCCCGGUGUAGCGGUGAAAUGCGUAGAGAUCGGGAGGAAUACCAGUGGCGAAGGCGGCCUUCUGGACUGACACUGACGCUGAGGUGCGAAAGCGUGGGUAGCAAACAGGAUUAGAUACCCCAGUAGUC